UCAGUAAGUAAAGGAGAGAAUGUUUAUCCUAGAUUCUCUGACAGGAGUAGCUCCUUAGGCACUUGCUGGAAUUGCUUUAUCUAUCUUCCCAGGUUGUUUCAUGCUAAUUAUGUUGUGUUAAUACAGUGUGGUUGAUACUUGAUUGUGCUGUCCUCCACCUCUAACCUUCCAACUCCACCGAUUCCUCAUCUGACCCUGAACAGCUUCAAGGAGCCCAAAAGAGGAAGAGGGGAAGACAGUUCGCAGAAGUAAAGUUGACUCCUUAAGGAAAAUAUUUUAUACUUCUGAAUUACCAAACAGAAAUAAACAGGAUGGCUCACCUGGAAGAAGCAAGAAAAUCGGGGUGUCUCUUCCACCACAGCUGCCAAAUGAGAAUGAGGUGGACAAGGCCUUACAUUUAGAAGAUACAGACACAGAUGAACAGACGUGCAGUGGGUCAUUACUUCUCCCAGGAGAGGUGGAACAGACAGUGACUUAUUGUACACCCUUUUUUGAUAAGCCCAUUCAACUGAAGUCCAGGAUCUUGUCAGUUCCCCAGCCAUUGGACAGCAAAACCCAGGAGCUACUAGGGGAUGAUGUUCACCCGUUCUCACUUGAUGAAGAAUUUGAUUAUGACAAUGUUGUACUGACCCCAAAGUUCUCUGAAGCUGAGCUCAAGGCCAUUAUAGACUUGUCUGAAGAGAAGAAAAUGGUGGCAGAUGUCAAGUCAGCAUGAGCUGAAGACUGGGUUGAAGUCAUUCUGUGCAGUGCUGCUAAAUAACAUUUUAGGGGGUAAAUCUAGCACUUCACUGUAUCCUUAUUUAGUGGUUUUAUCUGUGUGACCAGUAAAUGACAUCCUCAGUAUUUUUGCGCUUGAUGUACCAAGGUGCCUUGAAGCCUUUGGUUCCCUUUCCCUGUAUCUCCUCCUCUCAAGUCCUCAUGAGAACAUGGAACAGGAAGAUGGUGCUUGCUCAGAGUUCUUGUAUAACAGCCAUUCAGCUACUAUUUUAUAUGUCUGUACAAUGAUUUGCUUAGGGAUUCAGGUUGACUGAGAUCUGCAUUUGUUCCUAAACCCAAACAGGAUUUUUGUGUAAUAAUAAUGUUGUAUAGAAAAUAUCUGUAUAGAUAAUAUUUUUAGGCAACAAUGUUCAGCUAUGUUGUUGUUUUCCAGGUGGUACAAGGCAUUUAGAAGGAUGUAUCCAGUGACAACCAUAAAUUCCCUUUUGUAGAAAAAUCCUUGAGCAGGGUGAAUCCUGUAUUGAUUGGUUCAGGUGAGGUAUGCUGGAGUAAUUGCUGUACAGGACCAAAACAAGCUGGUGGAAUUCAGAAUAGGAAUGUGGCUACUCUUGCUUCUAUUUGGUACAGACUCAGGUGGUGACUAGUGCUAAGCUAGUCCUAGAGCUGCCUUUUACCUUCUUCUUUCAGUAAUGCAAAUAAGAGCUUUUUGCAGCUGACAAAUCAGUCUAUAAACUCUUUCCCUAUCAUUAUAAGACUUAAAUGUACAGUGUUACAUGAGUGAAUAAAUAUGAGAAUGUUGUUUUGUUUUUUUUCUCUGGUUUUUCACUUACUUCAGUUCUGCAGAGAAAUAAAUAUUCCUGUUUCCAAUAAACUUCUGAGUUGAUCAAAA